GCUGGGAGUGGUGGUGGUGGUGUAGUCCUGUAAUCCAACAAUUCGGAGGCUAGGUAUAGAGGAUGUUUUACUUUAAUUACUUUUACUGAAAUUAGAUUUUCUACGUUGAUUAAACAACCGCUAGGGGUAAAUCAUCAACUUGAAUGCCUUGAGGGGGCCCGAGGUGACCAGGUUAAGUCAUAAAAAAGGGGGAAAAUUGGCUGGAAAGGCACCGAAAAUCGUGAGUUCAAAACCUGGGAGUGGGAAUUUCAGCUCGUUCAAACAAGAACAGACCGGUACCUUA
rnacentral:SRP_RNA from 1 species